CCGCUCUACCAGAAAGUGGGCAGCCAGAGAGUUGCUGAUUGUAUCUGUAUAUAAACUGAAACUUUAGAGACUGAGAGAGAACAAAGAUGAGAAUGAAGAUGGAAAGAACAAGAUAGAACAAUGAGAGGACAGCAGAAGCGACAGCGAGGAGCUAAGUCUUGUCUUCUAGGUUCUAUCCAGCUCCAUUUCUUUGUGGCUGUUGUUCCUGAUCAUCAGCUCAUGGCACCAGCAUCUCCUAAAUUGUUGGGGUCCCCAAUACAACUGAGCUGCACCUCCACCAACAGCCUCCCUUGUGGUCUCCCCAGGAAUUCCAGUUUUGCCACAUAGGGCCAAGCCCAGCUGCUCUCCAUGACCUCUUCAUGCCUUUAAAAUGUGACUUUUAUAUUACAAAGUUUGGCUGCUAUCAUGAGAUAAAUUCUUGUAUAUGAACACAUGGAGGUACGGAUUUAAUAUCUCAUUAAACAAGCAUUGUUUUUAAAUCUUA